rnacentral:rRNA from 1 species
CCUACGGGAGGCAGCAGUGGGGAAUAUUGCACAAUGGGGGCAACCCUGAUGCAGCGACGCCGCGUGAGUGAAGAAGUAUUUCGGUAUGUAAAGCUCUAUCAGCAGGGAAGAAAAUGACGGUACCUGACUAAGAAGCCCCGGCUAACUACGUGCCAGCAGCCGCGGUAAUACGUAGGGGGCAAGCGUUAUCCGGAUUUACUGGGUGUAAAGGGAGCGUAGACGGUUCAGCAAGUCAGAUGUGAAAGCUCGGGGCUCAACCUUGGGACUGCAUUUGAAACUGUGUAGCUGGAGUGCAGGAGAGGUAAGCGGAAUUCCUAGUGUAGCGGUGAAAUGCGUAGAUAUUAGGAGGAACACCAGUGGCGAAGGCGGCUUACUGGACUGUAACUGACGUUGAGGCUCGAAAGCGUGGGGAGCAAACAGGAUUAGAUACCCGUGUAGUC